rnacentral:lncRNA from 1 species
CAUUGCCAUGCAAUCUCCAUAGACAAACAGUGACAGUAGAAUGGACCAUACUGAAGAGCUCAGUGACUUAUACAGUUAGUUCUGUACAUGAUAAUACUUAUCCUAUAAAGAUAAUAUCUUAUCCAGCUAAGUAUUAACUUGUAACUAAGUAAUACGUUCAUUUUUCACAAUUUCUUGAGCCUUUAAUUUCCCAUAUGAAACAUUGACGAGAUAUUGAUUGGGUUCCUCUUGUCUAGUGGCUCAUAAACAGAACAGCAUCUGUGACUUGAGUCAAUGAGUCAGUCUAUGGGAGCUGAUGAGGUGGGUUCUCUGCUCUAUCUUACCAGCACAAAUCCAUUUACCAGCCUGAGCCGUCUCCUUCUCACACAGACAAUAACCAGCAGGCCUGUGUGUGUGUAUGUGUGUGUGUGUGUCUCUGUCUGUCUGUCUGUCUGUCUGUCUGUGUGUGUGUCAGGGUUUCCGUUAGGAAAAUGUAGAGCAGAACAUUUGACAGCCAACAUUUUGAACUAAAUAGCCUAUUUCAAACACAAUAUGGAUAUAGAAUAUGCUUCUACACCGGCAUUGCUUGCUGUUUGGGGUUUUAGGCUGGGUUUCUGUACAGCACUUUGAGAUAUCAGCUGAUGUACGAAGGGCUAUAUAAAUACAUUUGAUUUGAUUUGAUUUGAAUAUGGAUCCCUAAUUCAUAGAACCAGUUGGCCUAAGCUACAUAAACAUUCAAAAUAAACAUUAAAAAACAAUGAGUCUGAUGCAACAGAUCAGAAUGUUGAUCUUAAAAUGUUGAUAAACUACUAUUUCUUCACAUUAUGAGUGCAGCAAUGCCCAUAAGGCAAGGCGGUAAUCUACCUGCUGCCCCACAAGGCAAUAGGCUACCUGCCGCCCCACAAGGCGGUAAUCUACCUGCCGCCCCACAAGGCGGUAAUCUACCUGCUGCCCCACAAAGCAAUAGGCUACCUGUCGCCCCACAAGGCUGUAAUCUACCUGUCGCCCCACAAGGCUGUAAUCUAUCUGCCGCCUCUCAAGGCGGUAAUCUACCUGCCGCCCCACAAGGCGGUAAUCUACCUGCCGCCCCACAAGGCUGUAAUCUACCUGUCGCCCCACAAGGCGGUAAUCUACCUGUAGCCCCACAAGGGGCCCCACAAGGCAGUAAUCUACCUGUAGCCCCACAAGGCGGUAGACUAUCUGCCGCCCCACAAGGUGGUAGGCUACCUGCCGCCCCACAAGGUGGUAGGCUACCUGCCGCCCCACAAGGCAGUAGGCUAGACGUGAAUGUUCAUCCAUAA